rnacentral:rRNA from 1 species
CCUACGGGAGGCAGCAGUGGGGAAUAUUACACAAUGGGGGGAACCCUGAUGCAGCGACGCCGCGUGAGUGAAGAAGUAUUUCGGUAUGUAAAGCUCUAUCAGCAGGGAAGAAAAUGACGGUACCUGACUAAGAAGCCCCGGCUAAAUACGUGCCAGCAGCAGCGGUAAUAAGUAGGGGGCAAGCGUUAUCCGGAUUUACUGGGUGUAAAGGGAGCGCAGACGGCUGUGCAAGUCUGGAGUGAAAGGCGGGGGCCCAACCCCCGGACUGCUCUGGAAACUGUAAAGCUGGCGUGCAGGAGAGGUAAGCGGAAGUCCUAGUGUAGCGGUGAAAUGCGUAGAUAUUAGGAGGAACACCAGUGGCGAAGGCGGCUUACUGGACUGCAACUGACGUUGAGGCUCGAAAGCGUGGGGAGCAAACAGGAUUAGAUACCCGAGUAGUC